ACUCCUGGUGGCGAGUGGCGAACGGGUGAGUAAUACAUCGGAACGUGCCCUGUGGUGGGGGAUAACUAGUCGAAAGAUUAGCUAAUACCGCAUACGACCUGAGGGUGAAAGCGGGGGACCGUAAGGCCUCGCGCGAUAGGAGCGGCCGAUGUCUGAUUAGCUAGUUGGUGAGGUAAGAGCUCACCAAGGCGACGAUCAGUAGCUGGUCUGAGAGGACGAUCAGCCACACUGGGACUGAGACACGGCCCAGACUCCUACGGGAGGCAGCAGUGGGGAAUUUUGGACAAUGGGGGCAACCCUGAUCCAGCAAUGCCGCGUGUGUGAAGAAGGCCUUCGGGUUGUAAAGCACUUUUGUCCGGAAAGAAAUCCCCUGGGCUAAUACCUCGGGGGAUGACGGUAC
rnacentral:rRNA from 1 species